rnacentral:rRNA from 1 species
CCUACGGGAGGCAGCAGUGGGGAAUAUUGGACAAUGGGCGAAAGCCUGAUCCAGCCAUGCCGCGUGUGUGAAGAAGGCCUUCGGGUUGUAAAGCACUUUCAGUGGGGAAGAAAGCCUUGGGGCUAAUACCCUCGAGGAAGGACAUCACCAACAGAAGAAGCACCGGCUAACUCCGUGCCAGCAGCCGCGGUAAUACGGAGGGUGCGAGCGUUAAUCGGAAUUACUGGGCGUAAAGCGCGCGUAGGCGGUCUGAUAAGCCGGUUGUGAAAGCCCCGGGCUCAACCUGGGAACGGCAUCCGGAACUGUCAGGCUAGAGUGCAGGAGAGGAAGGUAGAAUUCCCGGUGUAGCGGUGAAAUGCGUAGAGAUCGGGAGGAAUACCAGUGGCGAAGGCGGCCUUCUGGACUGACACUGACGCUGAGGUGCGAAAGCGUGGGUAGCGAACAGGAUUAGAUACCCUUGUAGUC